UUUAGUUCUAAUGACAAUGGCGGAAUUAUCGGAUGCGAACGAGCGUCGUUCUGCAUUCGUUCGCGUUUUUUCUCGUCCGAAGUGAAUUUCAUACGCAAACAAAUAUCAGAAGUAUUGAAUCUAGCGAUGAGCCUUCGUCGUGGAGUGUUAAUUAACGCGUACGGUUGUGAUUAUUAGUCUUUCGACAUCCUUAAUACGCCUAUUCCAUCUUGUCGAAUAUUGCAAAUCAUCAAGCUUCGGUACGAAGUUGUCUCAUCUUUCAAAUUUCUUAAACAUUUUAUCGUGAGUAUAGUAGGACAUCUAUCGUGUUUAGUUCUAAUGACAAUGGCGGAAUUGUCGGAUGCGAACGAGCGUCGUUCUGCAUUCGUUCGCGUUUUUUCUCGUCCGAAGUGAAUUUCAUACGCAAACAAAUAUCAGAAGUAUUGAAUCUAGCGAUGAGUCUUCGUCGUGGAAUGUUAAUUAACGUAUACGGUUGUGAUUAGUAGCUGUUCACGGGAUUCGUGAAACAAAUUCGUUGCAUCGCGUCGAAUAUUGCAAAUCGUCAAGCAUCGGUGCGAAGUUGUCUCUCUUCUCUGAACUUUUUCCGCUUUUCGGAAUUGUCUCGUCGAGCUUAUAGAUGGCCGUCAUGUAGGUGUAAUCAGUACGUAUGAUUGAAACCUAACCCUAAUUUCUAAAAUUUUCGUAAAGUCAAUGACAUCGUGUUAUUUGCUAUAUAUUUGAGUAUCGAUGCAAAGUUGUCCUGUAUUCGUAUCAUUCGUAUGAAUCCCGUCGGAAUGUCGUACCAAGUUACAAGCAAUCAUCGUGUUUCGCGUUAUUUAUUUGUUCGAAAGUGCAUUGCUUGCGAUAACCAAAUCAAGGCAUGUAAUGAUAAUUAACUCUUCGGAUGAUUUUCGCGUUCGGUAAUUUGAUUCGUGGUAUUGCUUUAUUAUUGUGGAGAUUGUUUCGCAAUCGCUGUGUUUUGCGUUGAAAGUAUGUCACGUUAAACUCGGGAGUGCCGCAUGUGAAUUGAUCGGUCGUAUCGUACAGUGAUAAUUAGUGCUACGUAAAUGUGUGCGUGUGUGUGUGUGAAGCGAUGACGCUGAUUAACAACGAAAUUGCAACGGCAAGACAUGAAUUGAUUAUUUAAUGACGGAUAUACAGUUUGCGCAUGCAGAGACAACGAAAUCUGCCUCGAAAUUGUCACGUUUUUGCGGAUCGAGGUUCGAUGAGAUAUGUUUGGAGUAAUGGCAGGGUCAACGGAUUGCAUCGGCCGUUACCGAAAUGCUUUUGUUUGGUAAUCGGCAUGAUUAACAAUUCGAUGGGGCUGAUGGAAAGCGGUCUGAAACGGGAUUUACAGCGGAUGAAAUAAACUGCAGCAUUAGUUCUGUGGGGCAAUGUUGCGCGGCGAAGUUAACGAUCAAUGCAAAUAAACAACAUUUCAAAAAUCGACGAAUAUCCGAACAAUUCAUCAAGAAAUCUCCGUCGAUCAAGAUAUUCUAGAAUUAAUUUUACAAUUUAAGAGCUAGUCGAUUAAUCUACCGAUUAAUCGGUGCGAUAAGAUUUAUCGCGUGAUCACAGUUAAUGUAGAACGAUUGUUAGCUUCGAAUGCGCCAAUCUGAAAUCUCGAAAAUUUCGAGAUAAAUAAACGUAUGAGUGAACACGCCCCACCCAGGAAUCGUUCCGGCCUCAUCCUGCGCUCCUGUGUUGCUCCGUUCUCCUUUCUGCUUCCUCGGACAUUAAUUUCGUACAGCGUGUUGCAGGUGCGCCGUCAGGUAAGUACGUGCGAUAUUAUUGGCCAAUGUCGGGCAGACGCGAAACCCGAACUGUUGCGACUCGGCACGAUCCCCAUUAACCGUCCCAUAAACAGAUAAUCGUGAAUUUCCCGCCGAUACCGUCCGCCCAAUCAGAUAAGACGGUACGUGGAGAUACGAAAUUAUUGUCCUCGCAUUUCUCGGCUCGUUCGAGCCGAGGUUCUCUGGUGUAAGUGUUAAUUAAGGACAGAUCGCGAUUGGAUUGGCGAGACGUCUAUAUUCGCGACAUUACAUAUGCGUUUUAACUGAUAAACGAUUGAUCUUGGAGAAAUUUAGUUUCCAAUCGAUAUAUCGUUUAUUAUAUCCCAAGGUUAGAAUAUUAUUGGCUUAAACGAAGCGUAAUUUUCAAGUGUAAAAAUAAGAAUCCGGACAAAACAUGGG